UUGCAUCAUUGCACAGUGUAAGCAAUAUUUGUCAUACUAACUAAAUCUACUUUCACUUUGUUUCAUAAGGAGAAAUGCAUACAGGCAGACCGCAUCAGAUGUUUAGCAGAAUUGGCUUAACAUUUUCAUAUGCUCAGUGAUACUGUGGUUUCUUAGGUUCUACAAGAUGAACAGUCAUGGUAGUGGACUAAUUAGUAAAACUAAGUCCAAAAAGGGAAAGGUACCCUAGAGAAAUGAUUAGACAGUACCCUUUCUGAUACCUGAGCUAACUUCAUAACAUAUUAUGUCAUGUUGAUAUUGACUCUGUGAUAUUUGGAGAUAAACCAUGUCUUCCCAGAAUUUUAAAGUGUGUUUUACACUGUAUGGCUGUUCUUACAAGUUGAACAAGCUAUCUAUUUCCUUGCAAGCUAGGAAAUAUCCUAAUAAGCCUCAGCCAGCCCAUGAAGCAUGCUUUUAAAGAGUUUCUUUUUCAUGUAUACUUAGGAACAGACAUUGGGAAUGUGUUCAGGUGUGAUGAUCAAUACUCUGUUGUGACGAUUUCAAAAACAAAUGCCUAACUUGACAAAAUUUUCCUGCAUUUCUGAAGAGAAUCUUUGGAAGGGUAAUCACCAGGAAGUUGCCAUUUAUUUUGCCACUGUACGAAAAAGAACACAAUGACUGCUUGGUCUCUGAGUAAGAUAUAACCUUAUUAUUAAAAUAGUCCAAGAGUGGGAAGAACAUAUCUCUUCCAGAAGAAGUACUGAGAUAUUUUAUCUAAUUCUGCUGCCUCUUUUUGCUUGGACACAAUAAGAAAUUGAUGCUGACCUCUACUCUGAGGAAGUGGUAAGCCUUCACACUUGUGGGAAAAUAAUUUUUGGGGAUUACUUUGAAUUGCUCUUUGCCAGAAAAGAAGCUGAUCAAAAACCUGAGAUAAGCACACAGUUUGUCAGGAAAAAUAUAGAAGUUAAUCUGUGUUAAAUUACAACCUUACAGAAUCCAGCCCAAAGUUUAAAGAAUUAUGGCAUGCUGUUUGCCUGUAUAUUUAAUUUACAUAGUACUACUUUGUUGCAGAAGCUAGCCAGUGUCAUCUAGAUGAGCUGGGACCUGGGGACUUACUCAUUUGGGACUUACUUCUAAAGAAACUCCCUAGAAUUGUAGGAACUGCCAUCCACGCUGAAUUUUAUGGUCAUCCGGACCUACUCAUCUUGCUUACAUGGGCUGCAAGACUGUUUAGGUGGAGAAGCAGAAGUAGUUUUUGUCAAUGUCAGAGUAGUCAUGUCUGGCUCUUGACUUAUGCAAAGUCAGCAGAAUUUGGGGAUAAAGAAAAAAACAACUUUCUACAUCUAUGAACUCAAGGUUGAGGCAGGUGCCUAGAAGAUGGGGAGAAUGGCAUACUCUGUUUCCUUGUGGCAUAUGUUAAAUUUUUAAGAGCGUAUUUGCCUGGGCUUCUGCUGGAUUUAGUCAAACUCUAGAUGACAGAUAAGUAAUCACUGUAUAAACAUUUUUUUCUGUAUCGAAGUUUAACCCCUUUUCAUUCAGACUUCAUGAUUUCUGCAUUUUUGCAUAUAGUAUUUCUUGAUAGCAACCAAUAUAGUAAAAACGAUGCCUUAAAUGAGAAAAGUCAAACAAAGAGCUGAAUUUUCAGAGUGAAAAAACAGAACAUUGUUUUAUAUAUCGUUUUAAUACAGAAUAAGACAAUACCUAAUAAAAAAUUUUCAUUUGUUUCCUAGUUGCUAUUUACUGUUACUGUUUUUCUAUCAAUAGCUAUUAUAUUGUAGUCUUUUUUGCUGAUAUAGGACCAUAUGUUUUAAACAUCUUCUAACAACUCUAGCUUUUUCAAGUAUAGCUUUAUCUUUUAAAAGGAUAGUAUACCUUAGUUACACCAGUAAGCUCAUUGUUGGGUGAAAUGUAUCCAAGUAGAAGUGAUAUUAAUAUCUGUGCAAAGUGGAUUUAAGGAUACAUUGUCCACAUUUGCCUCACUGCAUCCCUAAUAUUUUUGGAAAAUAGGAACUAAUAACAACAAUUCUGAGUGCCAAAAAAAGAAAAAUAUAGUUUCAAAAAAUGAAUUCAAAGUCUGAGAGUCAUGACUAUGAAGGCUCUUUCUUUCAUUUCUCUUUAUUAUUCUUUAAUCAGGAUUAUUGCUUGUAAAUCAUGUGAGAUCAUUCUCCAAAAUGCAUGCCAGUGAAAAAUUUAUUCCUAAUUUGGUAUAAUCUCAGGGAACAUUCAAGGCAUCCACAUGAUAUAUACUACCUAGUAGCAACCUGAAUGAGGGGUUUGAGUAUCUUUGUGUGCACUGCUGCUCUACUAGUUCUGCUUAGGCAACCUUUUAGUUUCCAUAUAUAAAAUACUUUAGACGCUACAGUUUUCACUUACUUUACUUUUCUUUUUGUUCCUCAAUAAUCUUUUUCUUUUCCAGGUUAAUUUAAGGAAAACUGUAGAGAGCUACACGCAAAUUCUUUGCUUUGAAAUGAAAAGUUCUAGAGUUAACCAUCAUGUACUUGUACAACCACCUGACAUGCUACGUACUGUAUCCACUCUAUAACAAUUUAUGCUUAUGUAAAUUAGGAUGUAGAAUAGUUGAUGUCUUUUAUGAUACAUCACUUCAUGACUUUUACCUUCUAGGUCAAAUAUAAUUGAAGGAAUAUCUUAGGCUUGCUAAAUUGACUUUGCAGCACACGAGGUAACUACGCAAUGAAGUAAUCUUAAUUUAGAAACAAUAUUAUGAUAUGGAGGAAUUCUAGUCUGUUCAUAUGUGAGAAGUCAUGUUAGGGAUAGAGAAACUACUUUGAAAUAAGUAAAACCCUACACCUUACAAAACUUGGGAGGGAAACCAUGUAGAGUAGUACCUUAUUCCCUCUUUUUAUGUUCUCAGUGUGCGGACAUAAUUUCUUUUACACUUAGAUGUUUAGUAAAGAUCACACUCUCGUAAGGGUACAGUUCCUGGAGCAGUUCCACAACUACUGGGAAAAUUAAGGAAUUGAAAUAUGCAAUUUGUAUUUUACUUUUUAUGAUCUAUAUUAGGUAUACAUUUAGAUGGCAGCCAGUUAAUAUUUGAUAGAGGGAAAAAGCUCUAAAUAUUCAAAUAUAUUAUCCAUAUACCUGAGUUUUCAUUUCCUUUCUUUGAAGGUAUUUCCCAAUAAAAUAUACAGUGAGUUUGACAAGGUCUUUCCUGUUUUGUGCCUUUAUUGUUUUGGGGGAAUAUUAAGUCAUGCUUGCAGCUGGGGAAGAAUAGAGAAUGAAAAAAUAUUCUACAUUGAGAAAACAUUGUGAUUUUAUUCAAUGUUUGGUGACAGAGAGAGAAACCAAAGCUUGUCUAGCUCAGUGCAUUCAGGCUAGAUUUAGGAAUAUAUCUUCAAAAGAGAAAUCAAAAUUAUCAUGUGUAUGUAUACACAUAAUGUCAGUGGACCUGUGCUGCAAAAGAAAAAAAAUGUUUAUUAGUAUUUACAUUUGACAUCCAAAAUAUGUUGAAAUUACUAAAAUAUGUGAUUUAAUUAGCAGGAGAGAAAGAAAUGUCACACAGUGAUAUUCAAGGACCUUUAGUUAUGCAUAAAUAACUGUAAAUUAAAAAUAUGAGGUCAGAUAUUACAGGCUAUGACCUCGUGUAUUUUAGUGUGGAGAAUCUGUUUACUCAUCAAGUAACGAUUAAAAGGACCUAAUACAGGAAGAUCAGGUAAUAGCCACUAAGAUUUGCUGUGUCCAAUGAUUCAAUUUUUCUUUUCUUCAAAGGUUUUUGUUCAAAGGUUGAGUUUUAUGAAAAAAUAUUAACAAGGCUGCAAGGGACCAUUAUUAUAUAUAUAGCACUAAGAAUCUUUAAUUCCUUCAGAAAGGAAUAUUCAGGAUUUAAAGGGGCAUAAGUUUUUGGGAAGGCAAGUAUGUGUUGACAAGGUAAUACUUUGUUUCAUCAUACAGCACUGUGUAAUCUUUUCCACAGAAAGUGUUGCACAUAGUUACAAAUCAAAAUAUUUUAAAAAGUUUAAGUAUCACUACUGACUGUACAUUGUGAUGUAAAUAACAAUUAGGAAAAAGCCAGAAAACUUAUAAGGUAUCAUAUUGUUAUUGACACUUUAUCAAUAUUUGAGGAUGGGACAGUAGAAGAUGACUAGCUGUUUGGUGAAACAAAAAAAUCUGAUUUCUUUGGUUGGCAAUCCAUUUUCAUUGAAUGCUCAGCAAUUUUAGUGUCUUUUUUUCCUCAAUAAUUUCUAUGCUUUUGUCUCUCCUUAUUCACAUUCCUUUCUUAUUUUUCAUUUAAAACAUCUUGUGAGGUUUUCUAUUAUUUGAUUAUUUAGUUUUAGUUUUCCAGUGGCUCCAACUUUCCCUGUUCCAACUCCCUCCCAUUGUUCUCGUUGUGUGUCAGGCUGAAAUUGCUCUGAGGGGUCAAGGCAUGUAUGCUACCAAGACAGAGUAUCAUGAAUCCUCAGCCGGUAUACUUCUGUGUGACAGUGAAUCAACAGGCUGUAUACUCCAUUCCCAUAACAGAAGUAAGGGCACUGGAGACAAUAUGACACAAAAACCUUCCAGAGGCUUUCCAAGUGUCACUAUAGAGUCACUCUGUCUAGCGAAGGAUAUCCAAGAAAUAGAGACCCAAAGAGCGAUGAUUACAAACCAGCGUUACAAGAAGACUGUUGCAGACCACAUAAAAGUUCAUUCUGAAGGUCUUUAUGUGCUUUACAGAGAUAGCAAAUAUGAGAAUAUAUGCUGUAUGACUGCCUAUUCCUACACCAAGGAGUUUCCCUAAGCACGUAGUUUCCGUCUCCUUCUCAGCUUGGUUUCCUUUUCUCUAGCAAGUAUGUAUGACAGUUGGGAACACUAGUGGAUGCCUUGCCUGCUGCACGUGAAGGACAAAAUGCAGCUGUCGCUUUCCUGGCAACUGAGAAGGCAGAUAAAAGGCAUAAACCCACCUCCUGCGACAAUAAAUGAUUUCAUUUUGACUGGAUGAAAAUUAAAAGAAAAAGGCAAACAAACAAGCAGUGGAGAAGUUUACCACUCACUAAGGAUCUCUUUGGUCUUCAGCAUACCAUUCUUCAUCAUCCUCAGUCUUCUGUUGCAAAUAGGAGCAACUGAAUGAUCUUCCUUAUUCCUCUUCUCCGGGGACACAAGAGCAAGGAGAGAGUAGUCUUCUCAUGUCUAACGAACUGUUUCCUCUACAAGCCAGAAGAUUACCUUAGAACUGUUCUACACUUGCUUUUGUACUUAGUACUUGGACGAACACAGAACUGAUUUUAAGUACUGUAAGAAAAUAUUUGAGCCACAUUAUUCAUAUAAAUUACUUUAUCUCUUGAUUUAUGUAAUAUGUGUGCCUGAAGUGGAUGAUUUGUUUCGUUGAGAUCACUAUAAGAAAAAAACCCAAACAAUGUUAAAAUUAAGCAUUAAUAAUUCAUACAUUUUUAGACAUUUGUUUCAGUUAAAUAAAAUAGAAAUGUAGCCACAUAAAAAUCCAUACAGUUUUAGGCUGAUUAGAUCAAUAAAGUAUGAUCUCAUGAAGGAUUUUAUUAUUAUUCUUCCUUUCUAUGCUAACUGACUUCAGAAAAGCUGUUUCUGUACAUAUUUUGCGUUGAAUACUGAAAAACUGUUAAGUGGAUUUAUUGUAAGAUCAUUCAAGCCAUUUUAUUAGUUCAAAUGAACUUUGUUAAGAUUUAGUUUUAUAUAUAAUUAUAAAAAUGACAAAAAAUAAAAAUAAACCUAAACAUUCUCUCCAGAUGAUUUAACUCAGAUAAUAUAUCAGCAUCAGCCUUCAUA